CUUCUUCCCUUCUCCUCCAGCCUUGCCACGUUCUAGGGACAAGCCAACAUGUUCUGAGCUUUCGUAUGAUUAGGAGGCAGCCAACUUGAUGAAUCUGGUUACUUUGGAUCUGGACCGGGACUUUGUCCUUGGCUCCUGGGAUUGUUUGGAAGACAGAGCUGGCCUGAACUCUGUGCUGCAAAGCAGCAGCUACGACCGCAAGAUCCAAACCAUACACUUCCAGAUUCUUUAUCAGAGUAAUCAUCUUAUUGGAGCCCCGAGAAGCCACAGAGAUGUCUAUAGGCUCAAUAUGGCCCUUCUUUAUUAUAGAUGCUUGUCCAGGCAACACAACUUGAAAACAUCCCUGCAUUCUUCCCAGUGGAUCAGAGGCCUGUCUGAGGAUUGUGGGCGGCACCACAGGCUGCGUCCGGGUUUCCCCGAGGCUUGGCUGUAACACUGGAGAUGCUGGUUUUCCAGAAAUCAGGAGACUGACAGGAAACCUUUACUUCACCCUUCCACCUCCUGCUGCUGAUCUUAUCCUGCUCAGUGUUUCCAGGGAUUGAACCAAACUUCUGUUUGUUUAAUGAAUGAAUGAUGAACCUGAUGCUGGACAGGUCAGUGUUUCCUCAAAACUCUUUUUCUCUGUACUUUUUGCAUUUCUGUUGAGCAGUUUAUAAUAAACAUCUCAAAACAU